UACGUAGGGUGCGAGCGUUGUCCGGAAUUACUGGGCGUAAAGAGCUCGUAGGUGGUUUGUCGCGUCGUCUGUGAAAUCCCGAGGCUCAACCUCGGGUCUGCAGUCGAUACGAGCAAACUAGAGUGUUGCAGGGGAGACUGGAAUUCCUGGUGUAGCGGUGAAAUGCGCAGAUAUCAGGAGGAACACCGGUGGCGAAGGCAGCUCGCUGGGACGGUACUGACGCUGAGACGCGAAAGCGUGGGGAGCAAACAGG
rnacentral:rRNA from 1 species